UACGAAGGGGGCUAGCGUUGCUCGGAAUCACUGGGCGUAAAGGGUGCGUAGGCGGGUCUUUUAAGUCAGGGGUGAAAUCCUGGAGCUCAACUCCAGAACUGCCUUUGAUACUGAAGAUCUUGAGUUCGGGAGAGGUGAGUGGAACUGCGAGUGUAGAGGUGAAAUUCGUAGAUAUUCGGAAGAACACCAGUGGCGAAGGCGGCUCACUG
rnacentral:rRNA from 1 species